GCCUUCGUGGUGUAGUAGUCAGCACACUCAGCGCGUAUUUGAGAGGUCCGUGGUUCGACUCCCGUCGAGGGCA
rfam:Stegodyphus mimosarum contig83525, whole genome shotgun sequence.